GUUUCUUCAAACCUAUUUCUGUUUUUUCGCUCAGCUGAAGAUGACUCCCACGGCUAGUCCUUAUCACCCGUAUCAUUUGGCUUUCAGUUUGCGUUUAUCAAAAACAUUGAAAACCCUAACCGUAUCUCUCUGAAAACCAACCUACUGGAAAAAUCAUUCCACAUACAAGCUUUGCAUCUUCUUUUUUUCAAUCUGUAGCAUACUAUGAACGAUCGAUCUUCUUUUCUCCUUCUCUUCUUUUAUUCUCCUUGUCGUUUCCACAGCUUGCUCCACAACUAGCAAAACCACCACCUCCAUCACCACGAGCAACAUCACCAGAUGUGUUUGUUUUAAGGACUGGGAUUGAUUCCUUCAGAAAUUUGAGAUAUGGCAGGAAAAUGUAAAGGGUCUUUUUCAACUUUCAGAAAUGUAGAUGGAAGAAUAGUUACUUCUGCAGAUGAUGAGGUAAUGGAGGUAGACGAUGUUCUUCUCGAUAUGUAUGUAUCCAUUUUUCCAAAUUUCGUUCUCUUUGUUAACUGAUUUUCCUAUUUGAUUUCAUUCGAUUGAUUUGGUUUUUUAGUUGUACUGUUUCGUUUUGAUGGUGUUGUAAUUCUAGAAAGGUGAAACUGUACCUAUUGCAUAGAUGGAAAUCAAUGGAAAAGAUGAGGAGUUGUAAUUGUGAAGAUUCUUAAACAUAAACAGAGUGAGAUAGUUCGUUUGGUUAUAAGACAAUCUAAGGCAUUGUAGAUCUGUGCUAGUCAUAGAGGUUUUUCUUUUUUUUCUUUUUGAAUUGAUUUUGGGCUUAUUUGAGGUUUUGAUUUAAUUUGUUAGAUUUGGUUAAGGGGUUUCUUAUGAUUUUGAUUUGUAGUGUUACCAACAAUUUCUAUUCAACAACAUGCUAUGGUGUGUGUUGCACACUACUGAUUUCUCUGAUGGUGAAUUGAAAGAAGAGUUGUUCUGUGUUCGAAUUGCAUCCAUUGAGAUACCGGAAUACACCUAAGUUGCUGAAUCAAUGUUUGGGGUACUGUUUCCUUCUUUGGUGCUGGUGUAUCUUAUUUGGAAACAAAGCUAGAUGCAGGAAGACAGAAUUGACACAGGAAGACAUGAUCAGACCUCCACUAGCUCUUGUCAGCAGGUCAAUCCUUCUAUAAAUUUUAUGUAAUCAAUAGGAGUUCAAUGUCCCUAUUCCACAAUAUGUUUUAUGAGAGUAGGUUAAUUCCAAAAAGGAGUUCAAUGUCCCUAUUCAUGUGCGCAGCUGUACAAAUCUGGACCAUUCACAAAUGAAUUUACGAUCAUGUAUGCAUAAUUUCUUAGCCCCCUCUAGUUGUCAUAAUUCUACUAGGCGAACUACAUAAAAGUUUAAAUACUUCUCUUACUUGGAAAAUUGAAUCCUCCUGUGAGUCUAUGAGCCACAGGGGAGGAGUACAAGUUUGUCUCCCUUUCUAGCUCGCACCUAGAUUGUUUCCACAUCUUCAUUGUCUCUCUCAAAAGCUGUUCUUCUUGUUUUCGUUAUAUACCUUUCAUGCUGUAACAUUUUAUAGAUUUGAUGUUUGUUGGGAGUGUUUUUAAACUAACUUGGCAUCUGCGUACACAAGAUACUGGGAUUACUCCCCUUGCGUAUUGCUUUUUGUCUUUGAGGAACUGAAGGGAGCUGUUGCAAGUGCUUUUGUUGAUUUUACUACGUCACCCAGCAGUGCCGAAUAGAACUGCCUCGUUAACGAAAUAGUGGAUCCAAGUGGGAUGUUAUACGAUGUAUAUGGAAUACUUCGGAGAUGUUUCCCUAGGUCAUAUGAUUAGGUGGCGAAAAACUUCUGUAAAAAGGAGAGACCUAACUAAAAUGCAGAUUAUGGCAGUUUUAGUAGAUUGAAUGUUUCAGUUCAGAUUUUGAAGUGUGAUUUUGAGUUGUAAUUGCAAAAUGAAUGUAUCCUCUUUUGGUUGUAAUGUAAAACUGUGUUCAUCUUUUAAAUGCAAUGUAUACCUGAUUCCAUAUUC